GUGGAAUUGCAGAAUUUCGUGAAUCAUCGAAUCUUUGAACGCACAUUGCACCCUGUGGUAUUCCACAGGGUAUGCCUGUUUGAGCGUCAUUUCUCUCUCAAAACAUUAACUUGUUUUGGUGUUGAGUGAUACUCGGGCUCCAAACUUGAGUUUGCUUGAAAAGUAUUGGCAAGGAAGAGUGAUUCCACAGCAGUUUAUUUAUUCAAUGUAUUAGGUUUAUCCAACUCGUUGAUUGAUAGGCUUGUAGUGGGGACAUUUGUUUUAAUUCCGGCCUUACAACUAUAGAAAACCAAAGUUUGACCUCAAAUCAGGUAGGAUUACCCGCUGAACUUAAGCAUAUCAAUAAGCGGAGGAAAAGAAACCAACAGGGAUUGCCUUAGUAACGGCGAGUGAAGCGGCAAGAGCUCAAAUUUGAAAUCUAGCACCUUCGGUGUUCGAGUUGUAAUUGAAGAAGGUAUCUUUGGAGUGGCCCUGUCUAUGUUCCUGGAACAGGACGUCACAGAGGGUGAGAAUCCCGUGCGAUGAGGAGUCCAAUUCUA
rnacentral:rRNA from 1 species